ACCAACAGUGCAUGAGAGCUCCUUUUUUUCCACAUUCUCAUCAACACCUGUUAUUCUCAAGGUGAUCUAUCCUGGAGAAAGUUCCACGUGAACCUGGAAAGAAUAGAUCUUCUGCUGCUUUGUUUUUUAUGUGUCUACUAAUUCCAUCUGGUCUGAUGUGGAUUAAAAAAUAACCACUUAAAUGGAAACAGACUCCAUUACCAUGGUUGAUGACACCUGAAACACCUUUCUAUAUCACUGGAAGUUCUUGAAUCACAGGCUGACAAAUGUUGUCAUAUUAUUUCUAGUCAAAGCUACACAUAAUAUUUUCUACUGAUAACUCAAGAAUAUAAAAAAUAAAUUUUGCAAUUCGGUUUUUAUAUGGAAUAAAGCAAGUCUAUUAAAUACACAAAAAUAUAAUCAACACCAAAUGAUGUUAACUUACAAAUUACUUCUUUGCACACUUGUAGUUCUUAUGUUUUAUAAAAGCUUUA